rnacentral:rRNA from 1 species
GGGUUCGGGACGCCAUUGUGGAGUAAGAAAUCAGAUUCUUAGUGAAACGGUCUGGAAAGUCCGGCCAUAGAGGGUGACAGCCCCGUACGCGAAAAGAAUCUGACUCCCGGCGUUUCCAGAGUAGGACGGGACACGAGAAACCCUGUCUGAACAUGGGAGGACCACCUUCCAAGGCUAAGUACUACCUGGCGACCGAUAGUGCACUAGUACCGUGAGGGAAAGGUGAAAAGUACCCCAGCGAGGGGAGUGAAAUAGUUCCUGAAACCGAAAGUCUACAAGCAGUAGGAGCUCUAUGGGCAACCAGAGCGACUGCGUGCCUUUUGCAUAAUGAGUCGGCGAGUUACUUUACGUGGCAAGCUUAAUCCGUGAGGAGUAGGCGAAGCGAAAGCGAGUCUUAACCGGCGUAUAGUCGCGUGGAGUAGACCCGAAACGAGGUGAUCUACCCAUGGCCAGGUUGAAGCGCGAGUAAAAUCGCGUGGAGGACCGAACCCACCAAGGUUGAAAACUUGGGGGAUGAGCUGUGGGUAGGGGUGAAAGGCCAAUCAAACCUCGAGAUAGCUGGUUCUCCCCGAAAUAUAUUUAGGUAUAGCCUCACAUAUCACCACCGGAGGUAGAGCACUGACUGGGCUAGGGGCCUCACCAGGUUACCAAACCCAAUCAAACUCCGAAUGCCGGUGAGUGCAGUGUGGGAGUCAGACUGCGGGUGAUAAGGUCCGUAGUCGAAAGGGAAACAGCCCAGACCGCCAGCUAAGGUCCCUAAGAAUGUACUAAGUGGCAAAGGUUGUGGAAGCACACAGACAACCAGGAGGUUGGCUUAGAAGCAGCCACCUUUUAAAGAAAGCGUAAUAGCUCACUGGUCAAGUGAAUCUGCGCCGAAAAUUUAACGGGGCUCAAGUACAUCACCGAAGCUGCGGAUCGACAUACUCUUCGGAGUAAGUCGAUGGUAGGGGAGCGUUCUAGCGGCUGUGAAGCAUGACCGGCAAGGACAUGUGGAGCUUCUAGAAGUGAAGAUGCCGACAUGAGUAGCGAUAAAGCAGGUGAGAAUCCUGCUCGCCGUAAGCCUAAGGUUUCCUGAGCAAGGACAAUCCGCUCAGGGUUAGUCGGAUCCUAAGCCGAGGCCAUUUGGCGUAGGUGAUGGAAAUCAGGUUAAUAUUCCUGAACCGGCUUGUACGUGUUGAUGCCAGCGGGGACGGAGUAGGAUAGCUCAGCCGGGUGUUGGUUCCCGGUUCAAGCUUGUAGGCGGGAGUUCUAGGACCCAAAGGGACAAACGGAACUCCUUAACGCCGAGAAGCGAUGAGAGGCUGAACGCAAUGCGGGACGCUGAACUGAGUGAGUCCAUGCUUCCAAGAAAAGCCGCGGGUGAAGUGUACAGGCCGACCGUACCUCAAACCGACACAGGUAGGCAGGGAGAGUAUCCCAAGGCGUAUGAGAGAACUCUGGUUAAGGAACUAGGCAAAUUAACACCGUAACUUCGGGAGAAGGUGUGCCUUUUCCGGUGAUGAGCCUUGCGCUCUGAGCUGGUGAAGGUCGCAGUGACCAGGGGGUAGCGACUGUUUACUAAAAACAUAGCUCUCUGCAAAGUCGCAAGACGAAGUAUAGGGAGUGACGCCUGCCCGGUGCCGGAAGGUUAAGAGGAGGGGUUAGCUUCGGCGAAGCUCUGAAUCGAAGCCCCGGUAAACGGCGGCCGUAACUAUAACGGUCCUAAGGUAGCGAAAUUCCUUGUCGGGUAAGUUCCGACCUGCACGAAUGGCGUAACGACUUCCCCACUGUCUCAACCAGGGACUCAGCGAAAUUGAAUUCGCGGUGAAGAUGCCGCGUACCCGCGAUAGGACGGAAAGACCCCGUGAACCUUUACUACAGCUUGGCAGUGGCAUUCGACUUAGUCUGUGUAGGAUAGGUGGGAGGCGACGAAAUCGGAGCGCUAGCUUCGGUGGAGCUACCCUUGAAAUACCACCCUGGCUAUGUUGGAUGCCUAACCUAGGUCCGUGAAACCGGGCCAGGGACACUGUCUGGUGGGUAGUUUGACUGGGGCGGUCGCCUCCUAAAAUGUAACGGAGGCGCACGAAGGUUCCCUCACGCUGUAUGGAAACCAGCGGUAGAGUGCAAAGGCAUAAGGGAGCUUGACUGCGAGACGGACACGUCGAGCAGGUGCGAAAGCAGGUCUUAGUGAUCCGGCGGUUCUGUGUGGAAGGGCCGUCGCUCAACGGAUAAAAGGUACUCCGGGGAUAACAGGCUUAUCUCCCCCAAGAGUUCACAUCGACGGGGAGGUUUGGCACCUCGAUGUCGGCUCAUCGCAUCCUGGGGCUGGAGCAGGUCCCAAGGGUUUGGCUGUUCGCCAAUUAAAGCGGUACGCGAGCUGGGUUUAGAACGUCGUGAGACAGUUCGGUCCCUAUCCGUCGUGGGCGUAGGAGUUUUGAAGGGUGCUGUCCCUAGUACGAGAGGACCGGGAUGGACGAACCUCUGGUGUUCCAGUUGUCACGCCAGUGGCACCGCUGGGUAGCUACGUUCGGAUCGGAUAACCGCUGAAAGCAUCUAAGCGGGAAGCCGACCCUAAGAUGAGAACUCCCGAGCUUUAUGCUCCUGAAGACCCCUUGUAGACUACGAGGUUGAUAGGCCGGGUGUGUAAGCGCAGCAAUGCGUUCAGCUAACCGGUACUAAUAGGUCGUGAGGCUUGAUUAUCCUCUUUCUUUCUCUUCGACGGGUCUCUUCCAGAACUCGCCGCUCGAUUGCCACAGUCAGAUAUUCACCUUUCAUUUUUCCGGUGGCCAUAGCGGAGGGGUCACACCCGAUCUCAUCCCGAACUCGGAAGUUAAGCCCUCUCGCGCCGAUGGUACUGCGUUCACUCGUGGGAGAGUAGGUCGUCGCCGGAUCCCUAAACCCCAAAGGACUCGUUGCUUGCAACGGGCCCUUUGGGGUUUUUCUGUCUCUGCGCGAGCCGCGCACCUCUCGAGGGUAGACUGAUUCGCAGGGACCGGGUUGUGGGGACUCCGAGGAACCGUCGAGCCCGACCCAGCGGCCAGUGUUCGGUGAUCCGGGGGGAG